GGGGUGGGGAAUGGUAAACUGGGGGAGGAGAGUAGUGCUUAACCGGUGGUGGUGGAGAUUUGUAAACGUAGUGUUUCUUUGGUGGGGGUGGAGAAUGGUAAACUGGAGGGGGAGAAUAGUGCUUCACCGGAGGAGGAGGAGACUUGUAAACGUAAUGUUUCUUGGGUGGGGGUGGAGAGUGAUAAACCGGUGGGGGAGAGUAGUGCUUAACCGGAGGAGGUGGUGAUUUGUAGACGUAGUGUUUCUUUGGUGGUGGUGGGGAAUGGUAAACUGGGGGAGGAGAGUAAUGUUUGACCGGAGGAGGAGGAGAUUUGUAGACGUAGUGUUUCUUUGGUGGUGGUGGAGAAUGGUAAACUGGAGGGGGAGAGUAGUGCUUAACCGGAGGAGGAGGUGAUUUGUACACGUAGUGUUUCUUGGGUGGUGGUGGAGAGUGAUAAACCGGUGGGGGAGAGUAGUGUUUGACUGGAGGAGGAGGUGACUUGUACACGUAGUGUUUCUUUGGUGGGGGUGGAGAGUGAUAAACUGGUGGGGGAGAGUAGUGUUUAACCGGAGGAGGGGGAGACUUGUACACGUAG
rnacentral:lncRNA from 1 species